UUGAUUAGAUGAUUCCUUUCUGUAUCUGCUGAAUACUAGAAAAAAGGGCUAUAUUAGAAAGUAUUUGAAGUGAUAAUCUAAUGUAUAUUUUUAUUUUAUCAUUUAUAUCCUAUGUCCUGUGCUUUGUGUAUUCCCCCCCUAAUCCUAUGUUAUUUAUCUAAUUUGAGACUCGAUUAUUGUUUAUUUAUUUUAGUGCUGUGGUAUCAUUGAUCCUAAUUUCUGCUUUUGUAGUAAAUGAAACCAGAAAUUUGAGGACUGAAAGUGGAAGUUGGAAUUUAAGAGAAAUACAUGGAGGAAUUCCUUUUGUUUCUUCCUCAUUUUGGGCAUGAUGAUAUUAUUCUCCUAACCUUCAUUUUUGGUUUCUCUUACAAAAAUCUACUGUUUUAUUUUGUUUGAUUGUAAUUAAUUGCUUCAAAUUUCGAUCAGACAUAUUGUUAUUUUAGCCUAGGAGCUUUUUUGCUCAGCUAAUUAGAGACGAGGAACCCAGGAAAAUUUUCCUUUUGGAGAAGCCAGUUUCUGUAUUAUUUUCGUUUGUAUUCAUAUGUUACUGUGACUUAAGCCUUAGAUCAUCUCCAAUCCAUUGCACCAAAAUGGUACAAAUUUUGCAUCAAAAUGGUGCAAAAGUCACAUCAAACAGUAAUACAUCUCCAACCCAUUGCACCAUUUUUUACACCAAAAAAGAAUAUUCUCAGUAUAUUCUCAGUUUAUUCCCUUUUAUCUAUUUUUAUAUUAAUUGAGAGAUAAAAACAAACAUUUAAAAAAAAAUUUAAAAAGUGAACAAAUGGGGCGGAUGAACAAUGCGACGCCAUAUUUGGUGCAGCACUGUUCAUCUGCACCAAAAUGGAGCAGAAAAUAGGGCUGGUUUGGAGAAUGAAUAGUACAACAAAAAGCACUGUUUGCACCAAAAUGGGGCUGGGUUGGAGAUGCCCUUAGAAAGCCUGUUUCUAUCCAUUUAUAUCCUAGAAAAAUUUUCACUGUUUUCUCGCGUUCUGAUUUCAUGGUAAUUUUAAUUUGAUUUCAUGUUUUAAGGCAUUUGGGACUAGAAAUUUUGCUUGUAUCUUAUCAAUAUUUCUUGAUGCAGUAUGUAUGGAUGGUAGCCCACCUGGUUACCACAUUCAUCAUGGAUUUGGGUCAGGAGCAAAUAAUUGGCUCGUUAACUUAGAGGUCUGUAGACAUUACAUUAUAACAUUAAAUAUAAGUUAUUAGAAUAGUCCAAAAACAUAUUUCUGUUUUGAAACUCGUGUUAUAAGGUCAUAGGGAGGAGGCUGGUGCAAUAACCUAAGAACAUGUACUUACUGAAAGAAAUCACACCGUGGUUCAUCCUACUAUAUGGAGAAGGAGAUUUCAUUCACUGGAAUAAUGAGUGACAAACGUGAAGAGAAUCCUGACUUCUAUAAUUGGAACAGAGUUAAGGUUCGCUAUUGUGAUGGUGCGUCAUUCACCGGGGAAGGCUACAAUAGGCGGAAAGGGCUCUCUUUGUCUGGAACAACGAGCACUUUGUGCGAAUGGCAUAGUGAUGCAUAGAGGACAUGCUUCCUUCAUUAGUCCAAGCCAUCGAGAACAUUCAGAUUGUCAUUAAGAGCUUUGUACAGAUUAUCAUUAAGAAUAUCUGUGUACAGAUUAUCAUUAAGAAUUUCUGUUAGGUGACUCUAGAACAUUCAGAAUUCUAAUCUUUGUUCAUCAAGAAAAUUGAUUUUAGUCAUCAGAAUUGGGAUAUUUCUUCUUA